GGCGAACCGAUCGCGAACGUUAUUCGGAAUCACUGGGCUUAAAGCGCGUGUAGGCGGCCCGGCACGUCCGUCGCUGAAAUCCCCCGGCUCAACCGGGGAAGUGGCGUGGAUACGACCGGGCUGGAGGGGGGUAGGGGGAGCCGGAACUUCCGGUGGAGCGGUGAAAUGCGUUGAGAUCGGAAGGAACGCCCGUGGCGAAAGCGGGCUCCUGGACCCCACCUGACGCUGAGACGCGAAAGCCAGGGGAGCGAACGGG
rnacentral:rRNA from 1 species